rnacentral:misc_RNA from 1 species
GGGCGUGUGAGUGGUGUUUGGUUUGUUACGGGUGGUUGGCUCUUUGCUUGCGCAACAACUUCCACCUGACAUACCUCUUCAGUUUUGUAUCAACGCUUGUAUCGCGUUGAAUGCAUUGUGGGUUUCUUGUGCUGUAUGCCUAAUUGAUGGUACCGUUUGAGGAAUCGAUGUCUAUUUUCGUCUUGUGUCGCACAUGCGAUGUGAGAUGAACCUUAAAGCAGCCUUUGUGAUCCACUAUUUUAAUGCGCAAGCAUUGUUGUUGUGGCUCAUUGAGUGUUUGUUUGGUCUCAUGGAUAUGGAACCUUGUGUGGGCAUGUGAUCUUUUAGUAGCUCAUUGUUUGCCCUCUAUGAAGCUUUUCAAAUACGAUUUCCUAUCACGUUUCUAACGUGGUGGGAUGUAUCGAAUAUGAAUG